UCAAGCUAAAAAGGGCGCAAGGUGAAUGCCUUGGCACUGGGAGCCGAUGAAAGACGUGGUAAGCUGCGAAAAGCUUCGGGGAGGAGCAAACAUCCAUUGAUCCGGAGAUAUCUGAAUGGGGCAACCCAAUGGAGUUCAUACUCCAUUAUCCAAUACUGAAUCCAUAGGUAUUGGAAGGGAACCGCCUGAACUGAAACAUCUAAGUAGGGCGAGGAAGAGACAUCAAACGAGAUUCCGUAAGUAGUGGCGAGCGAACGCGGAAGAGGGCAAACCGAGAGUAGAAAUACUUUCGGGGUACGGACUGCUUUUAAGACUUAAUCUGUUAACCGAACGGCAUGGGAAGGCCGGUCAGAGAGUGUGAGAACCACGUAGGUGAAAACGGAAAGAGCUGCGCAGAUUCCAGAGUACGGCCAGACACGUGAAACCUGGUCGGAAGAUGGGGGGACCACCCUCCAACCCUAAAUACUACCCAGUGACCGAUAGCGUAUAGUACUGUGAAGGAAAGGUGAAAAGCACCCCGGGAGGGGAGUGAAAAAGAACCUGAAACCCUGUGCCUACAAGCACCUAGAGCGCGUCAAUGCGUGAUAGGGUACUUUUUGUAGAACGGUCCGGCGAGCGAUUGUAUGCAGCAAGGUUAAGGACUUAAGGUCUGGAGCCGAAGCGAAAGCGAGUUUGAAAAGGGCGUUAAGUUGCAUAUAAUGGGCCCGAAACCGGGUGACCUACCCAUGGUCAGGUUGAAGUGGAAGUAAAAUUCCAUGGAGGACCGAACCGACCUCCGUUGAAAAGGCGGCGGAUGAACUGUGGGUAGCGGAGAAAUUCCAAUCGAACCCGGAGAUAGCUGGUUCUCCCCGAAAUAGUUUUAGGACUAGCCUCAAGUUAGAUACCUGGAGGUAAAGCACUGAAUAGCCUAGCGGCCGAGAGGUUAGCGAAGCUUAUCAAACUCAGAAUGCCAGAGUAUUGAUGCUUGGGAGUCAGACAGUGUCAGAUAAAUGUCAUUGUCAAAAGGGAAACAGCCCAGAUCUACAGCUAAGGUCCCAAAGUCAGGUUAAGUGGAAAACGAUGUGAAGAUACGCAGACAACCAGGAUGUUGGCUCAGAAGCAGCCACUCAUUCAAAGAGUGCGUAAUAGCUCACUGGUCGAGCGUCUUUGCGCGGAGAAUUUAACGGGGCUAAACCUGACACCGAAGCUUAGGCAAUCCAGUAAUGGAUUGGGUAGGGGAGCGUUGUAUACGCGGAGAAACAGUAGCGUAAGCGGCUGUGGAGUGUAUAGAAGUGAGAAUGCCGGAAUGAGUAGCGCGAAUGCAGUGAGAAUCUGCAUGGCCGAAAGCCUCAGGUUUUUGGAGGAAGGUUCGUCCGCUCCAAGUUAGUCGGGAGCUAAGGUGAGGCCGGAAGGCGUAGCCGAUGCACAGACGGUAGAGAUUCCGUCACCACCAAAAGAGUUAAGCACAGGGACACAUUUGAAGUCUCAGAGCCGGGUGUUGGUUCCGGUAGAGAUCGAGGGAAAUUAGUACCGAAGUCUGGGAUGGAAGAUGGCGAGAAAAGCUGUGUGUAUUUCUGAGGUGCCCGUACCGCAAACCGACACAGGUAGGUAGGAAGAAGAUUCUAAGGCCAACGGGAGAAGGGUUGUUAAGGAACUCGGCAAAUUGACCCCGUAACUUCGGGAGAAGGGGUGCUCCAGAGAUGGAGCCGCAGAGAAUCGGCCCAAGCAACUGUUUACCAAAAACACAGGUUUGUGCUAAAUCGAAAGAUGACGUAUACGAGCUGACGCCUGCCCGGUGCUGGAAGGUUAAGAGGAGAUGUGCAAGCAUUGAAUCGAAGCCCCAGUGAACGGCGGCCGUAACUAUAACGGUCCUAAGGUAGCGAAAUUCCUUGUCAGGUAAG
rnacentral:rRNA from 1 species